rnacentral:lncRNA from 1 species
AAAGAAAGCAGGAAACUGUGACUAAAUGAAGAUCACAGAGCCAGUUGAUCAGUGGGGAAGCUGCAUCUGAAAUCCAGGACUUCUAGAUCCUGGGUCAACUGGAGGGGUCAUGCAUUCUGGAAAAUAAUGCAGAGUGGUACAGGCUGAAGCGGAGCGGAGAGGACACUGUUUCAAGAUUCCUGCGCCAGCUCCUUCGUUGUUAUAGAAGUUGGACUAAAUAAAAGGGUAAUCACAAGCGUACAGAUAACAGGCAGGCAGGAAUGUGAAAAUCAGAGAGAAGAGAGAUGUGCACCAGAAGCUGGAGUAAUGUGCUUUGAAGAUGGAGGAAGGGACCAUAAAUCAAGGAAUGCAGACAGCCUGUAGAAGCUGGGAAAGGCAAGGAUGUGGAUUCACUCGAGUCUCUAGAAGAAACGCAACCCCGCCAACACCUUGAUUUGAGGACGUCUGACCUUCAGAAUGAGAAAAUGAUACAUUUGUGUUGUAAGCCACCCAGUUUGUGAAAUAUGUAUCAACAAUUGAAAACUAGUACAUAGUCAAAUACUCAAUCUCUGUUUUUUUUAGCUUAUCAUUUUCAAUCUCUGUCUCCAACCCACAAACCACAUGCAUCAUAAAUAAAUUAAAAUACCAAAACUUU